rnacentral:rRNA from 2 species
GGUCAAGUUAAAAAGAGCACUAGGAGAAUGCCUAGGCACCAAGAGGCGAAGAAGGACGUGACAAGCUGCGAAAAGCUGAGGUUAGCUGCAAAUAAGCCAAGCCUCAGAUAUCCGAAUGGGGAAACCCACCUCAAAAGAGGAAUCCUAUAGCCAAUAAAUAACUAUAGGAAGCGAACCAGGUGAACUGAAACAUCUAAGUAACCUGAGGAAGAGAAAGAAAACUCGAUUCCCAAAGUAGCGGCGAGCGAACAGGGAAGAGCCCAAACGUGUAAAAAGAGAAAAUAGCCAGUCGAAUCAUCUGGGAAGACGAACCAAAGAAGGUAACAGUCCCGUAGACGAAGGCGAAGAUAUCCGACACAAAAGAGUACCACGGAACACGAGAAAUUCAGUGGGAAUACAGGGGGACCACCCCCUAAGGCUAAAUACUACUUGGUGACCGAUAGCGAACAAGUACCGUGAGGGAAAGGUGAAAAGAACCCCGGGAGGGGAGUGAAAUAGAAUCUGAAACCUAGUGUUUACAAGCAGCGAAAGUGGCAAAAGCCACGAUCGUGUACUUUUUGUAGAACGGGCCAGCGAGUUACGAUUACAAGCAAGGUUAAACAUUAAAGAUGUGGAGCCGAAGCGAAAGCGAGUCUAAAGAGGGCAAAAGUUAGUAGUCGUAGACCCGAAACCGUGUGAUCUAUCCAUGAGCAGAGUGAAGUUGAAGUAAAAUUCAAUGGAGGCUCGAACCGGGUAGCGUUUAAAAGCUAUCGGAUGACUUGUGGAUAGGGGUGAAAAGCCAAACGAACACGGAGAUAGCUGGUUCUCCUCGAAAUAGCUUUAGGGCUAGCCUCUAGCAAGAAUGAAAAGGGGGUAGAGCACUGACUGGUCAAGGGGCAUGCAUAUGUUACCGAGACCUAUCAAACUCCGAAUACCAAAUCAUACGCUAGGGAGUCAGACUAUGGGGGAUGAGCUUCAUAGUCGAAAGGGAAAGAGCCCAGACCAUCAGCUAAGGUCCCAAAAUUAUAGUUAAGUGGGAAAGGAUGUGGAGUUACUGAGACAACUAGGAUGUUGGCUUAGAAGCAGCCACUCAUUUAAAGAGUGCGUAAUAGCUCACUAGUCAAGUGACUCUGCGCCGAAGAUAACCGGGGCUAAACUAUAUACCGAAGCUAUGGAACGAAAAACGUUGGUAGAGGAGCAAUGUAUGAAGGAAGAAGCAGAAGUUGAAAAGCACUGUGGACAUCAUACAAGAGAGAAUGCUGGCAUGAGUAGCGAGAGGUGAGUGAGAAUCUCACCCGUCGAAAACCUAAGGAUUCCUGAGCAAGGCUCGUCCACUCAGGGUAAGUCGGGACCUAAGGCGAGGCUGAAAAGCGUAGUCGAUGGACAACAGGUUGAAAAUCCUGUACCGAUACAAUCAGUGAGGAAGUGGGGACGCAGAAGGAUAAUAAGAGCGCCCAGUUGGUGAGGCGUGCAAGCGCAAAGGAUGGAAAGUAGGCAAAUCCGCUUUCCGAGAAGUCUAAAGCGUGAUGCGGAUCGAAAACAAGUAGAGAAGCUUAUAACUCCACACUGCCAAGAAAAGCCACUACAAGAGAAGUAUCGCCCGUACCGCAAACCGACACAGGUAGGUGAGGAGAGAAUCCUAAGACGAGCGGAAAAACCUUUGUUAAGGAACUCGGCAAAAUGACCCCGUAACUUCGGGAGAAGGGGAGCCCCUGUAAAAGGGGGCCGCAGUGAAAAGGCCCAAGCGACUGUUUACCAAAAACACAAGUUUCUGCGAAGUCGAAAGACGAAGUAUAGGAGCUGACACCUGCCCGGUGCUGGAAGGUUAAGGGAAAAAGUUAGCAUAAGCGAAGCUUAGAACUGAAGCCCCAGUAAACGGCGGCCGUAACUAUAACGGUCCUAAGGUAGCGAAAUUCCUUGUCGGGUAAGUUCCGACCCGCACGAAAGGUGUAACGAUUUGGG